GAUGAAGAGCGCAGCGAAAUGCGAUAAGUAAUGUGAAUUGCAGAAUUCAGUGAAUCAUCGAAUCUUUGAACGCACAUUGCGCCCCCUGGUAUUCCGGGGGGCAUGCCUGUUCGAGCGUCAUUUCACCACUCAAGCCUCGCUUGGUAUUGGGCAACGCGGUCCGCCGCGUGCCUCAAAUCGACCGGCUGGGUCUUCUGUCCCCUAAGCGUUGUGGAAACUAUUCGCUAAAGGGUGUUCGGGAGGCUACGCCGUAAAACAACCCCAUUUCUAAGGUUGACCUCGGAUCAGGUAGGGAUACCCGCUGAACUUAAGCAUAUCAAUAAGCGGAGGA
rnacentral:misc_RNA from 1 species